rnacentral:sRNA from 1 species
UAUCGAAGCUCUCUCUUCCUGUCUCCUUUCAGUCGCUGGAAGUCGAUGGCAGAUGGAUGCAGAGGGUCAAUAUGUUUUGCCAAAAGUAAUAGAGAUCGCUGACGGUGACUGUGAGCUGUUGUUCGAGCAGUUCAAACCCACCAAUGUUAGCAUACAUA